AUGAGUUCCGACGGCAGGCUGGACCUCGACGCGACGACAAGCACCCUCGGCCCGGAGGAUGACACGGCGCAGGGUCUGAUACUGCCGACCAAGGAUAAGGUCAUGUACCGGCCUCCGCCGGGGAGAUCCGCGCUAGGUUUGGACCUGCUCGCACACAAGAAAAGAGAAAAGGAAGGUAACAAUUCAUUUAAGCGGCCUCCUGAGAAGGUAGUGACGGCUGCUUCUUCUAUGGAUGAAGAUGAGAGGCCAGGAUCUACAGAAAAUGAUGCAAGCAGCCUGUCCGGUGGUGACCGUGGCAGCGUGGCUCGCCGUUAUCGAGGAACCAAUUCCAGUGAGAAAACAUUGUCGAAAGAAUCUACAGUCACUGAUGAGAAUGAAAGGGGUCUUACACCCAGACAUCGAGAUGAAUCCCAUCGGCAACAGACCCCCGCCUCUAGGUACGAACUGAAUGAUGACAGAGGAUCCCGUGACAAACGUGGUGCACGCGAGACAUCUGCAUCCAUUGGUUAUAGUAGCAGUGGAAGGCGAGGAUACCGUGAUGACAGGGAAUCGAAUAGUAGGCGUAAUGAACGGAGCAGAUCUACAUCUAUCGACUACACAAACAAAAGAAGUCGGGAUGACUAUAGCUCGAGAAGCUCAAGAACACCUGCAAGAUCUGACUGGGACAGUGGCCGAUGGGAAUGGGAAGAUACACCUCGCCGGGAGUACCGUGAUGAUCGUCCUGGCUCCCAAAGACAUUAUCCAACACGAUCUCCUAUGCUGGCUGCUGCAUCUCCUGAUGCACGAUUGGUGUCUCCUUGGCUAGGUGGGAAUACACCCCGUUCCGCAGCAUCCCCUUGGGAUCAUGUUUCUCCCUCACCUGCUCCUGUGAGGGCUUCAGGUUCAUCAAAAGGGUCUUCGUAUUCAAGUUCCAGUGGAAGAUCUCAUCAGCUUACCUUUUCAAAUGAUGCUGAAGCUGAUAGAAGCCCCUCAGCUGCUGAUAGGAACUAUGAGAUUACCGAGGAAAUGAUGCAAGACAUGGAUUAUAAUGCUGACCGUGCUUGGUAUGAUUGUGAAGAACACAACACUGUGUUCGAUGGUGAUAAUUAUGCUGCAGAUGAUAGCUCCUACAAAAAGAAGGAAGCACAAUUGCCUAAGAAAUUGACUCGUAAAGAUGGUAGUCUGAUGACCCUUUCUCAGAGCAAGAAAUUAUCACAGAUGACUGCUGAUAAUGCUCAGUGGGAGGACAGACAAUUGUUGAGGUCUGGAGCUGUUAGAGGAACGGAGGUGCAGACAGAAUUUGAUGAUGAGGACGAGCGUAAAGUAAUACUUCUUGUUCAUGAUACAAAACCUCCCUUCCUGGAUGGGCGAGUUGUAUACACAAAGCAAGCAGAGCCUGUAAUGCCACUGAAGGAUCCAACAUCUGAUAUGGCUAUCAUUGCACGAAAAGGUUCUGUUUUGGUUAGGGAAAUUCGUGAAAAGCAGAGCCAGAACAAGUCGCGGCAACGCUUCUGGGAGCUUGCUGGAUCUAAUCUUGGAAAUAUAUUGGGCGUUGAGAAAACGUCUGAACAGGUUGAUGCAGAUACUGCUGUUGUUGGUGAUCAAGGGGAGAUUGAUUUCAAGGAGGAAGCAAAGUUUUCGCAACACUUGAAGGAAAAAGCAGAAGCUGUCAGUGAUUUUGCAAAAUCUAAAUCUCUUUCUCAGCAAAGACAAUAUCUUCCCAUAUAUACUGUUCGAGAUGACCUGCUACAGGUUGUGCGUGAAAAUCAAGUAGUUGUGGUCGUUGGUGAAACUGGUUCUGGGAAGACCACUCAACUUACUCAGUAUCUGCAUGAGGAUGGAUAUACCACAACUGGUGUUGUUGGCUGUACUCAACCGAGACGUGUGGCUGCCAUGAGUGUUGCCAAGCGGGUCAGUGAAGAAAUGGAAACCGAACUGGGUGAUAAAGUUGGAUAUGCUAUCCGAUUUGAGGACGUCACUUGUUCUAGCACUAUAAUAAAGUAUAUGACAGAUGGAGUGCUUCUUCGUGAAACCUUGAAAGAUGCUGACCUUGAUAAAUAUCGUGUUAUCGUCAUGGAUGAAGCACACGAAAGAUCCCUCAAUACUGAUGUUUUGUUUGGCAUAUUGAAGAAGGUUGUUGCACGUCGGCGGGAUUUUAAGCUAAUUGUCACAUCUGCAACCCUAAAUGCAGACAAAUUCUCAAAGUUCUUUGGAGGUGUGCCUGUAUUUAACAUUCCAGGCAGGACAUUUCCAGUAAAUAUCUUGUUUAGCAAAACACCAUGUGAAGAUUAUGUGGAAGCGGCAGUGAAGCAGGCCAUGACAAUUCACAUAACGAGUGGCCCUGGAGACAUCCUCAUCUUCAUGACCGGGCAGGAAGAGAUCGAGGCUACUUGCUAUGCUCUUGCUGAGCGCAUGGAGCAGCUAAUAUCGUCAUCCACGAAGAAUGUACCCAAGCUCUCCAUCUUGCCGAUUUACUCGCAGUUGCCUGCUGACUUGCAGGCCAAGAUCUUUCAGAAGGCAGAAGAGGGCACUCGCAAAUGCAUUGUUGCUACCAAUAUUGCUGAGACGUCCCUCACAGUGGAUGGUAUCUUCUAUGUCAUUGAUACCGGGUAUGGAAAGAUGAAGGUAUACAAUCCACGGAUGGGCAUGGAUGCUCUUCAGGUUUUUCCGUGUAGUCGAGCAGCUGCAGACCAGCGUGCAGGACGUGCUGGAAGAACCGGCCCUGGCACAUGCUACAGGCUGUUCACAGAAUCAGCUUACCAGAACGAGAUGCUCCCUAACCCCGUGCCAGAGAUUCAAAGGACUAACCUGGGAAACGUGGUUCUCUUACUGAAGUCCCUCAAAGUCGAAAACUUGCUUGAUUUUGACUUCAUGGACCCACCCCCCCAGGAGAAUAUCCUCAACUCCAUGUACCAGCUCUGGGUGUUGGGCGCCUUGAACAAUGUUGGUGGACUUACAGAAAUAGGUUGGAAGAUGGUGGAGUUCCCAUUGGACCCGACUCUAGCAAAGAUGCUUCUCAUGGGGGAGAAGCUGGAAUGCCUUGAUGAAGUAUUGACCAUUGUAUCCAUGCUCUCAGUACCCUCAGUUUUCUUCCGGCCAAAAGAUCGAGCAGAGGAGAGCGAUGCCGCAAGGGAAAAAUUCUUUGUCCCAGAGUCUGACCACCUAACACUCCUGAAUGUAUACCUGCAGUGGAAGUCAAACCAAUAUCGAGGAGACUGGUGUAAUGACCAUUUCCUCCAUGUUAAGGGUCUCCGUAAGGCUCGGGAAGUGAGAUCUCAACUGCUAGACAUACUGAAAGCCCUGAAGAUCCCACUGACAUCAUGCCAUAUGGAAUGGGACGUGGUAAGGAAAGCUAUCUGCUCGGCGUACUUCCAUAACUCGGCAAGGUUGAAGGGCAUAGGAGAGUAUGUCAACUGCCGGAAUGGGAUGCCGUGCCACCUGCAUCCGAGCAGUGCUCUGUAUGGUCUCGGGUACACCCCUGACUAUGUGGUGUACCACGAGCUUGUCCUGACAACCAAGGAGUAUAUGCAGUGUGUGAGCGCAGUGGAUCCGCAAUGGCUGGCGGAGCUGGGUCCUAUGUUCUUCUCUGUGAAAGACACGGACACCUCCCUUCUGGACCACAAGAAGAGACAGAAGGAGGAGAAGACGGCCAUGGAAGAGGAGAUGGAGAAGCUGAGGCAGGAACAGGCGGAGGCAGCACUCGUGGAGAAGGAGAGGGAGCGACGGAAGAGAGCCAAGCAGCAGCAGCAGAUCUCUAUGCCGGGUCUGAAGAAAGGUUCGACAUAUCUGAGGCCCAAGAAGAUGGGUUUGUAG
rnacentral:rRNA from 1 species